AGAGUUUGAUCAUGGCUCAGAUUGAACGCUGGCGGAAUGCUUUACACAUGCAAGUCGAACGGCAGCACGGACUUCGGUCUGGUGGCGAGUGGCGAACGGGUGAGUAAUACAUCGGAACGUGCCCAGUCGUGGGGGAUAACGUAGCGAAAGCUACGCUAAUACCGCAUACGAUCUACGGAUGAAAGCGGGGGACCGUAAGGCCUCGCGCGAUUGGAGCGGCCGAUGUUAGAUUAGGUAGUUGGUGGGGUAAAGGCUCACCAAGCCGACGAUCUAUAGCUGGUCUGAGAGGAUGAUCAGCCACACUGGGACUGAGACACGGCCCAGACUCCUACGGGAGGCAGCAGUGGGGAAUUUUGGACAAUGGGCGCAAGCCUGAUCCAGCCAUUCCGCGUGCAGGACGAAGGCCUUCGGGUUGUAAACUGCUUUUGUACAGAACGAAAAGCCUUGGGUUAAUACCCUGGGGUCAUGACGGUACUGUAAGAAUAAGCACCGGCUAACUACGUGCCAGCAGCCGCGGUAAU
rnacentral:rRNA from 1 species